rnacentral:lncRNA from 1 species
UGUGACUUUUUAUCCGGGGCGGGUGGGUUGGGGGUUGCAAAUGAAGGAAAUUUUUACAUGGAUCUUUUUAAUCUCAGUUGAUUGGGGAGGGGGGUUUGGUUCUAGGGUCAUACAAGCUCUAUCCCAAAGCAAAAUCCAAAUGUUAAUAAUACUAGCCUGAUGCAGAUACCAAAGACAAUUUCUUUCCUGCAGAACCUUAGACUUGUGUAUUAAGUACGAUUACCCAGCACUUGCAUUAGUCUAACCUCAGUAAUUCCAAAGCUUAGAUGUAUAUUUUGGUAUAUUUCCAGGAUAUUAAAAAAAAAUGUCGUUUAACUUCUUGUUUGUUUCAGUGUAAUGCUCUUAAAGUCAUAGCAUGAAAUAAUUGCGCUGUCCUAUUCUUGGUAGUUUGAAAUAAUAGUAUUUUUGUAUGUUUUGGGUGUGUCUAUGUAUUAACAUAACAGUUUUCACUGCCUAGGUGUAAUAAAAACGAAAGGUUCUGAGUGUACAUACUGUUUGGCAACAGUCUCCACCAGUGCCCACGGAGUGUGGAGUCACUGAGGACUGCCCAGCGGGGGGCUGGUUUUAAAGAGACGCUGAUUGUGUUUUUUUUUUAAGAUGUUUGUUUCUGUCUUUAAAUAUCUUAACUUCCCCACUUGUUUUUUUCCUUUUUUUUUUAAUUAAUAUUAAUUCAGGGGUGUUUUUCCACUGUUGUCAAGGGAGGAACACAAGGAAACGGGCACCUUGGCCUCCCAAAAUAUGUUAUUUUAUGUACUUUAAAAUGUGAGUUUUUGAGUUCUUGUGUGUGGAAACUUACAAGAUGAUGUACAUGAUUCUUUCCAGAGUUGCCCAGCAGCUUUAACGAGGCAGUGGCAAUUCCUGAGUAGUUAGUUGGGUGUCCUCUACAUUUCUCCUUCAGACGACUCUGCAGUCUGGGUGGCUAUUGUGUAGCCUCUCUCCCCAGAGUGUCCGUAGCCAUUUCUCCUUCAGUGGGGAUGUUUUAUAAGAUUCAGCUGAUAACUCAGAGCACUGGCCCUCGUUAUCUGUUUUUCUUGAUUUGGAAAACCUGAAACCCAAACAGUUGUACUUGCUGGGAUCAGCUCAUAGCUCCAGAGGCCCAGGAAGCGGUGGCUGUGAGCGGUGCUGUCUCUUUAAAAGUGCCCUUGAUGUGAUUCCCCUCCUGGGCUGCCAGAGGGGAUAGGGCUUGGGAAAGAUUGUGUGGGUGCCAGUGAAUCAGAAUGAAAUGGUGGGUUUUAUGUAGAUGCAUUUGUCUGCUGUAAUUUUUAUAUAUAUUAAACUUACUGUAACUGUACAGUUCUGAUUUCUGUUGUAAAACAUUAAACCAUUUUCCAAGUGUUU